GGUGGAUUAGUGGCGAACGGGUGAGUAACACGUGGGCAAUCUGCCCUUCACUCUGGGACAAGCCCUGGAAACGGGGUCUAAUACCGGAUACCACUCCUGCCUGCAUGGGCGGGGGUUGAAAGCUCCGGCGGUGAAGGAUGAGCCCGCGGCCUAUCAGCUUGUUGGUGGGGUAAUGGCCCACCAAGGCGACGACGGGUAGCCGGCCUGAGAGGGCGACCGGCCACACUGGGACUGAGACACGGCCCAGACUCCUACGGGAGGCAGCAGUGGGGAAUAUUGCACAAUGGGCGAAAGCCUGAUGCAGCGACGCCGCGUGAGGGAUGACGGCCUUCGGGUUGUAAACCUCUUUCAGCAGGGAAGAAGCGAAAGUGACGGUACCUGCAGAAGAAGCGCCGGCUAACUACGUGCCAGCAGCCGCGGUAAUACGUAGGGCGCAAGCGUUGUCCGGAAUUAUUGGGCGUAAAGAGCUCGUAGGCGGCUUGUCACGUCGGAUGUG
rnacentral:rRNA from 1 species